UACGUAGGGGGCAAGCGUUGUCCGGAUUUACUGGGCGUAAAGAGCGUGUAGGCGGCCAAACAGGUCCGUUGUGAAAACUGGAGGCUUAACCUCCAGACGUCGACGGAAACCGUAUGGCUAGAGUCCGGAAGAGGAGAGUGGAAUUCCUGGUGUAGCGGUGAAAUGCGCAGAUAUCAGGAAGAACACGAAUGGCGAAGGCAGCUCUCUGGGACGGUACUGACGCUGAGACGCGAAAGCGUGGGGAGCGAACAGG
rnacentral:rRNA from 1 species